rnacentral:rRNA from 1 species
AGAGUUUGAUCCUGGCUCAGAUUGAACGCUAGCGGGAUGCUUUACACAUGCAAGUCGAACGGCAGCACGAGAGAGCUUGCUCUCUUGGUGGCGAGUGGCGGACGGGUGAGUAAUAUAUCGGAACGUGCCCAGUAGCGGGGGAUAACUACUCGAAAGAGUGGCUAAUACCGCAUACGCCCUACGGGGGAAAGGGGGGGAUCGCAAGACCUCUCACUAUUGGAGCGGCCGAUAUCGGAUUAGCUAGUUGGUGGGGUAAAGGCUCACCAAGGCAACGAUCCGUAGCUGGUUUGAGAGGACGACCAGCCACACUGGGACUGAGACACGGCCCAGACUCCUACGGGAGGCAGC